GAUGAACGCUAGCGGCAGGCCUAACACAUUCAAGUCGAGGGGUAACUAGAGUGAUAGCAAUAUUACUUUGGCUAGACCGGCGCACGGGUGCGUAACACGUAUGAACCCUACCUUAUACUGGGGAAUAACUUCGAGAAAUCGGCGCUAAUACCCCAUAACAUUACGAAGAGGCACCUCUUUGCAAUUAAAGCUCCGGCGGUAUAGGCUGGGCCUGCGUCCAAUUAGCUAGUUGGUGGGGUAACGGCUCACCAAGGCUACGAUGGGUAGGGGUUCUGAGAGGAUGAUCCCCCACACUGGUACUGAGACACGGACCAGACUCCUACGGGAGGCAGCAGUGAGGAAUAUUGCGCAAUGGACGAAAGUCUGACGCAGCCAUGCCGCGUGCAGGAUGACGGCCCUAUGGGUUGUAAACUGCUUUUGUACGGGAAUAAACCCUUCUACGUGUAGGAGGCUGAAGGUACCGUAAGAAUAAGCACCGGCUAACUCCGUGCCAGCAGCCGCGGUAA
rnacentral:rRNA from 1 species